rnacentral:rRNA from 1 species
UCAGUUCGGACUGUAGGCUGCAACUCGCCUACACGAAGCUGGGAUCGCUAGUAAUCGCGGAUCAGCACGCCGCGGUGAAUACGUUCCCGGGCCUUGUACACACCGCCCGUCACACCAUGAGAGUCUGUAACACCCAAAGCCGGUGGGAUAACCUUUAUAGGAGUCAGCCGUCUAAGGUAGGACAGAUGAUUAGGGUGAAGUCGUAACAAGGUAAC